UACGAAGGGGGGCUAGCGUUGCUCGGAAUGACUGGGCGUAAAGGGCGCGUAGGCGGCUUGCACCGUCAGAUGUGAAAUUCCUGGGCUUAACCUGGGGGGCUGCAUUUGAUACGUGUGGGCUUGAGUGCGGAAGAGGGUCGUGGAAUUCCCAGUGUAGAGGUGAAAUUCGUAGAUAUUGGGAAGAACACCGGUGGCGAAGGCGGCGACCUGGUCCGUGACUGACGCUGAGGCGCGAAAGCGUGGGGGAGCAAACAGG
rnacentral:rRNA from 1 species